CAAGGAUUCCCCUAGUAACUGCGAGUGAAGCGGGAAAAGCUCAAAUUUAAANUCUGNCAGUUCUUGCAGCUGUCCGAGUUGUAAUUUAGAGAAGUGCUAUCCGCGCUGGACCGUAUACAANUCUCCUGGAAUGGAGCGUCAUAGAGGGUGAGAAUCCCGUCUNUGAUACGGACUGCCAGGGCUUUGUGAUGCGCUCUCGAAGAGUCGAGUUGUUUGGGAAUGCAGCUCAAAAUGGGUGGUAAAUUCCAUCUAAAGCUAAAUAUUGGCGAGAGACCGAUAGCGAACAAGUACCGUGAGGGAAAGAUGAAAAGAACUUUGGAAAGAGAGUUAAACAGUACGUGAAAUUGUUAAAAGGGAAACGCUUGAAGUCAGUCGCGUUGGCUGGGGAUCAUCCUUGCUUUUGCUUGGUGUACUUCCUAGUCGAUGGGUCAACAUCAGUUUUGAUUGUUGGAUAAAGUUCAAGGGAAUGUGGCAUCUUUAGAUGUGUUAUAGCCUUUGUUCGUAUACAGCAGUUGGGACUGAGGAACUCAGCACGCCGCAAGGCCGGGUAUUUAUACCACGUACGUGCUUAGGAUGUUGGCAUAAUGGCUUUAAUCGACC
rnacentral:rRNA from 1 species